CUGAACGUGCCUCCAUUCACUCAGGUACCUCCACACUGGAUCCCUCAAGAUUGUGAUGUAGUAGUAGUUCCUGCUACAUGAAAGAAUAAAAAGAAGAGUUUUAGGAUGUAAUUUGAAAGGAUGUAAAAAUGUUCUUUAAUCAAAUUCAUUCAAAAUAAUUUGAAAAAAUUAGAUCACUUAGUUAAACAUGUCCAAGUAGCAAAAGGAGAUCAAGCAAAAUCAAUCACACUGUUGAACUGAUCCACAAAAAAGUGAAACACAAUUACAUUUAAUAAUGCAUAUGAAUCAUAAAGUGGAAUAAAUUUGUAAUUAGUGAUCGACCGAUAUGGGUUUUUUAAUGGCCAAUGCCGAUAUCCAGAGAGCAGGGUGGCCGAUAGAUCACACAAUUUAAUAUAGUACAUAACAUACAAUUUAUUUAGCACUAUAUUUAUUCAAUUUCACACUAAACUUUAUCUUUGAAAAAAAAAAAAGAAUCUAAAAAAGUAAUAUUGUAUUUUAAAUGGUAGAUAGCAGUUUCUUCUGAUUUCUGUUUAGUCAUCAAAUUUUAGUAAUUUAUUUGCACAUGAAGAAAUUGUUAAUAUAUUAGGAAGAAGGAAAUAACAGUACACACAGUAGUCCAGCAACCAUGGAUGGGAUGUCCACAUUAGCAAUCACAUUUUCCCCAAAAAUACUGAAUCAAUCCAACUGUACAUACAGUGCACAGUGAACAAGACGUUUACUUAUAACACACGUGAAGUGCUUUUACUUUGAAGUUGCACACAUGCGCUCGUGCUGAUCCAGCGCGAACAGCAAUCUCCUGACAGUUUAAAUGGGCUGAAUCACCUGCCUGGAUUGUCCUGGACUGACCGUCAUGAUUUGUGAAUCAGAGGAACUUUUGAUCCUGAAGUUUUGGUUCUGGCUGAUAGAAUACGUGCUUCAGAGGAAGAUAUUAGAUGAGCGCUCGACGGGAAGAAAACGCUGGAUUUUCAUGAGAAAAGUUACAGGGAACUUUUGAGGAGAGACUGUUAGAAUACGUGCUUCAGAGGAAGAUUUAAGAGCGUUCCACAGGAUGCUGGAUCUGCUGAAGUUGUGUGAGGUCCUGCAACUAAUUGACCUUACUCAGCCCCGCCCCUUUUCAGCGCUGCAUGCUUCCGUGUUUUGUCUCUUACCUUCCGGUUUGAAUUGAAGCUACUGAGAAGAGCCGAUCGAAAAGGAUUACUUGUGGGAGCACAGAAAGUAUUUUUCACCAAGAGUUGAUGUUGUGAGUCUACACCACCCAUUUACUCUGUGAAAAUACUCAUGAGUUGUUUUUGCUGUCACCGUAAAUGUUUGUUUUUCCGACACUUACUAAUGGUAAUUUGGAAAUUUGGACCUGGCAGAUCACAUGACACACUGCACUUUUUCAUGAUACACGCGUUUAAUUGUCAUACGUGUAAUUCUGCUUAAUUUUUUGAAGUUUCUCCCUGUUAAUAAUUUGUAUUAAAAUGUGUAGUUGAAGUAAACUUUCAAACGGUGACAGUUCGUAUUAUUUCAUAUGCAUGUUCAUUUAAGGAAAUUACAUUUGUAUUAUUUAAAAUUUAUUUGUCACCCCACAUUUUUAAAAGGCUUAUAUGUGAUUAAAAUAGUUGUAAAUUGAAUAUAAAA